rnacentral:lncRNA from 1 species
GGAGGACUGAAAGCAUUACUGACUGUUGUGUGAAUAGAACUGCAAUCAAUAUCUGGUUAAUAUUUGCCAUAUGUGAUGUGGAAUAUGCUUUUGUGAUAGCUGAAAACUAACAAGACUGUUUACAGAGCAGAGAGGGUUAAGUGAGCCACCCUUUCUCCCUUUUUUUCCCAGCUAAGAGAACUGUGUUUACGCUCCCUGACAUCAAGACUGGCUGUGACCUCAGCUGUCAGAGAUUAGUUGAGUUUUUAUUUGCUCUUGAUGGGUGAAUGCAGACAGAGACAAACCGUCCAGUCUCAAGUGGACAGAAAAUAGAGACAUGGGUUCUCUACUAUAGCAGUUAUGUGUCACUGUCCCACAUAGCAGGUAAUGAAGGGCGAGAUAAUGAGGGGAGUAAUUUCGCUCCUGACUUUUAAGGUGUCAGGUUGCUUUGUACAAGACAGGUAUGUAAGCACUCCAAAAUCCCUCUGAGAUAUUUGUCAUCAAAAUACUUUGUGAAGCAUGAAGAUGGCCGUAAGUGUUUGACCGAGGAACAGUUUGAAGGGACAGGUCUGGCAAACUUGGGGAAAAUGCUGGGCCCAUGCACCAGAACACAUGAUUACCUAACAAGGGUCUGAGAGAGGCCAGGGCUGCUCACAGGUAUCCUCCAACAUGGUUAAUUGGCUGCUUGAUAUAUACAUACUGAAUAUGGGCAACAGCAGCUAUGGGUCUGGUGAUAUGUCAUGUGAACUCUCUGAUAUGAGUUCUUUGAAGUAGGGAAAUCAGACCAGUGGUUUCAGAAGACCCUUGUGAAUGAAAAAUAAUAAAAUCAGUGUUCACACUGAAGUGCUGCACAUCUGUCUGGGAACACUGGUGACCACCUAGUGCUGGCUGCAAGGCAUCUUGGGCAAGUGGUCUGACCCAGUGUCGUUCCCAGUGUCCUCAACGUUUUUAUCACAUCAUGAUUUCUUCCUCUGUUCUCCAAGUGUAGCUUAAAGGCUGGUCUUACACCAGUAGGUCUCUCUUCCGCAGUGAUAAGAUAUAAAGGACUAAAUCAUGGGGCAUGAGUAACAACAUUUUUAUUUCUAAUGGAAGAGUAAGUGACAAAUUUUAGAGAAAUGUUGUAAGAGGAGAUAUUUCAGUACUUGUGAAAUUAUGGAGUUUUAUGCAAAUAAAUUAGCAGAGAAGGCGGAUUUCGUUUUGUAUAACACUGAUAGACUUCAAAAGAAUUUUUCAGAAUCUCAUGACUUUUCAGUGCUCCUUUCUCUGUAACUGGGACAGAAGAGUAAUUCAAUCAGAAGAUUAUGUCUGUUGGUUUAAUAUGCAGACUAUGGUUGCAGAAAAGCGUUUAUGUCCUUACGCACUGGACAUCUGGAAACAUUCCCCUGCCACAUUUUAUUAGAACAUUGAAAUCACCUCAUUAAAUGAUAUGGAGAGGUUCCGAAAGCAGGGUAAUUGUUGGGAGAUCAAUCACAGAUUAAGCUUCCCAUGCCAUUUUAAUAUGUUCUCAUUCAUUGCCACAGACACUCAAUCUGACCAUUGAUUUUCAUCAAAGACUUCCAGGUUUUCUGAGCCUUCUCCUGGUGAAAUGACCUCCUGCAGCACUUUCUUUCUUGAACAAACAACCUGAUAAGCAAUGAAGCACAUAUGCCAAAUUGCUAUUUUAAUAUUGUUUUUUCUCUUGAAGUCUAAAUAGUAGAACUGGGUCUGGAUAGAAAAAUCUCAGUCGUUUAUUCACACCUAUCCUCUCCAGUCCCUGCUGUUGUGAUGAAUCUUCCUGAAUGGUCCAGGCUCUCAUCAGUGGUGUAGUUCCACAACUGAGAGGAAACCAGCUGUUGACCAAGGCAUUAGUGGGAAGGAUGAAGCUGUUAGUUCAAUGGGGAAUAUUUCAAUGCUGGAAGAUUCUGAGCAGGGUUGCAGACAAAAGAUUUCUGAGAAAGAAUUACAAAAUAGGAAUCUUGCUUGGUUUACCACAAAGGUGAUGGGACAGAGUGGGCAAAACUGAAGAAAAACACAUUAUCUUUGAUGAGAGGAAAAUAUUCCCAACGUGUCCCCUGUAUCAUAUGCCCAGUAUUUAUAUGCUGGACUUCACAGUAUGUGGCAAAGGUUUUUGCUUCAAAACUAUGAAUUUGAUGAACCUAUAUAUGUCCUCUUUUCUUGUGAACCAGGAUACUAGCAAGAACUAUUCAUCAAUUUAAUUUUCAUUCACAUUUCAACCCCUGUUUCUGUCCCAGUCCAAUACAAUGGUGUCUGGUUUUAUCCCUCCCUGUUACAACUGUAAAUAGAAAGCAGACAGGAAGUCAAGGCCAUUGACAAAAAGCAGGAGGAGGAGAAGAAAAAGCCCUAAGAAAAUGACAGACAUACACAGCACGCUCUGACCUCACCAUAACGAGGACGCUUGUAAAGACUUGCGUCCGUGGAUCAUUUCCGCCUGCCAUAUGGGGUGUUUGUUCUACACAGUAAACAAGGAUCACAGUGUUUGAGUUUUAGUCAAAUAGACUUUGGAUACAUUUUCAUAACUGAACUGGGAUGGCUUUAGUACUGUGCAGUAGCUCUCAGUGCUUUUCAUUUCUCUUAGUCAUGGCUUUUUAAAGGUUGUGUGACUAUUGACAACUGUGGGAGGUAGUCUCAUGUCACUUUUUCCUUGCCUAUCUGGUCACUCAAAAGAGAGAGCUUUUUUUUCACAGAAAACUCUCUUCCAAAUCCUGCUGGCAGCUGUGGAUUUUCUGUCUCUCAGUGUGAAUAAUUUUUUCUGCCUGUAUCUGUUCUGUUAGCUAUGAUUUUAGCACCACUCUGAGAUUCCUGGACAUCGGUUCUGCUCAUGUUGGCCUGCUUUGGGUACAAAGAGACUGGCUUACCAGGCAUGGAAACCCAGAUGGAUGGCAGGAAACCAGUAUAAACACAGUCCCUGCCCUUUUGGACAAGUUGGGUGUAACUGUGUUGGCUGUCUUGACUCCAACACAGAGCAAGAGUAAAUCUGCACUUAGCAAUUUGUAAAGAAAGCAGGAGGGAAACCAACUUUUCCCAUGAACUUACAGUGAUAGGAUGAGGGGAAGUGGCUUUAAACUAAAAGAGGGGAAGUUUAGGUUAGAUGUUAGGAAGAAAUUCUGUAUCAGAGAUUGGUGAGGCACUGGCACAGCUGCCCAGAGAAGUUGUAGUGCCCCAUCCCUGGAGGCGUUCAAGGCCAGGUUGGAUGGGGCCCUGGGCAGCUGAGCUGCUGGGGGGCAGCUCUGCCCAUGGCAUGGGGUUGGAAUGGGUAGGCUUUGAGGUCCCUUCCAACCUAAACCAUUGCAUGAUUCUAUGGUCUCUGUUAUUUAACCUUCAUGCAAGAGCCCCAGACAUCCGUGGGCUGUCAAGCAGUGGCUUCUUCUGGAAAUGAAAGACUAGCUCAUACUUGUCCAGUGUGAUCUAGGACCCUCCACACAAUUUAGGUAGAGACCUCUUCACUCAACAAAUGGGACUCUUGCUUCUGACAAGUUUGCAUUUGGUCCCUUCUAAUACUGUUAUUGACUGCCCUUUGAUGUUACUCACAAUAUUUGGAAAGUCAACGUUUGUGUUCCUGCUCCUUUGCUCUUUUUGAAACUGAAAAAUACUUCACUACUCUUGUGUAUGGGAACUGUUGAGUCACGGCCUGAACCACUGAUUGAUCACCUGAAGCAAGGACUGGGUCAGCCAUGGGAGCACAGGUGAAGGCAAUUCAGCCGUGUGACCAGAAGGGGUGGAGCCUGGCCGCACCUCUCCUACACCCCAUUUAAGGGCUGACUGCCACUAGGGAAGGAUCUUUUUCUGGAGAUCCCUCCCUUUUGGAGUUUUCCAUUGUGAGCCUGGAUCCUCAGCAUGAAGAUAUACCUUGCACCGUGAUCCAUGUGAGAGAAG